GACGCGGUGGCCUAAUGGUUAGCGCGUUGGACUCCGGAGUCCUGCGGUCUGGGUUCGAGCCCUGGCCUGGGUCA